rnacentral:rRNA from 1 species
AAAUAGAUACCCAGGUAGUCCACGCCGUAAACGAUGGAUACUAGCUGUUUGGGCGCAAGUUUGAGUGGCUAAGCGAAAGUGAUAAGUAUCCCACCUGGGGAGUACGGGCGCAAGCCUGAAACUCAAAGGAAUUGACGGGGGGCCCGCACAAGCGGUGGAGCAUGUGGUUUAAUUCGAUGAUACGCGAGGAACCUUACCAGGGCUUAAAUGUAGAUUGACGUAUUGGAAACAGAUAUUUCUUCGGACAAUUUACAAGGUGCUGCAUGGUUGUCGUCAGCUCGUGCCGUGAGGUGUCAGGUUAAGUCCUAUAACGAGCGCAACCCCUGUUGUUAGUUGCCAGCGAGUAAUGUCGGGAACUCUAGCAAGACUGCCAGUGUAAACUGUGAGGAAGGUGGGGAUGACGUCAAAUCAUCACGGCCCUUACGUCCUGGGCCACACACGUGCUACAAUGGCCGGUACAGAGAGCAGCCACUUAGCGAUAAGGAGCGAAUCUAUAAAGCCGGUCACAGUUCGGAUCGGAGU